GAUGAACGCUGGCGGCGUGCCUAAUACAUGCAAGUCGAGCGAACGGACGAGAAGCUUGCUUUUCUGAUGUAAGCGGCGGACGGGUGAGUAACACGUGGAUAACCUACCUAUAAGACUGGGAUAAAUUCGGGAAACCGGAGCUAAUACCGGAUAAUAUUUUGAACCGCAUGGUUCAUAAGUGAAAGACGGUCUUGCUGUCACUUAUAGAUGGAUCCGCGCUGCAUUAGCUAGUUGGUAAGGUAACGGCUUACCAAGGCAACGAUGCAUAGCCGACCUGAGAGGGUGAUCGGCCACACUGGAACUGAGACACGGUCCAGACUCCUACGGGAGGCAGCAGUAGGGAAUCUUCCGCAAUGGGCGAAAGCCUGACGGAGCAACGCCGCGUGAGUGAUGAAGGUCUUCGGAUCGUAAAACUCUGUUAUUAGGGAAGAACAUAUGUGUAAGUAACUGUGCACAUCUUGACGUUACCUAAUCAGAAAGCCACGGCUAACUACGUG
rnacentral:rRNA from 1 species